AGAGUUUGAUCCUGGCUCAGAGCGAACGCUGGCGGCAGGCCUAACACAUGCAAGUCGAACGAACUCUUCGGAGUUAGUGGCGGACGGGUGAGUAACACGUGGGAACGUGCCUUUAGGUUCGGAAUAACUCAGGGAAACUUGUGCUAAUACCGAAUGUGCCCUUCGGGGGAAAGAUUUAUCGCCUUUAGAGCGGCCCGCGUCUGAUUAGCUAGUUGGUGAGGUAAAGGCUCACCAAGGCGACGAUCAGUAGCUGGUCUGAGAGGAUGAUCAGCCACAUUGGGACUGAGACACGGCCCAAACUCCUACGGGAGGCAGCAGUGGGGAAUCUUGCGCAAUGGGCGAAAGCCUGACGCAGCCAUGCCGCGUGAAUGAUGAAGGUCUUAGGAUUGUAAAAUUCUUUCACCGGGGACGAUAAUGACGGUACCCGGAGAAGAAGCCC
rnacentral:rRNA from 1 species